rnacentral:lncRNA from 1 species
ACGAACAGCCGAGUUCCUCGUCGCAGCGCCGCCAUAGGUAAAGUCUGAACAAUUUGUCGCCGUAUAUCUUCGUCUCUUCUUCUUUUGAUCUUGUUUUUGGUGUUGAAUUUGUUCGACUCGAACCCCUUGAUGAGUCGAUCCCUCAGAUUUCUCCACGGGGCUCGAAUUUUCCGAAGGGGCGAGACUGUUCGGGGAUCUUGAGUCGC